AUGCAGUUCGAACGAGAAAGGGGCAGCAAUCCCUGCAGUAAAGUGGCGUUACGGGCUGCANUUUACACGCUGGUAUCAUCUACCUCUUAGUGGGGAAUAACUCUGGGAAACCGGAGCUAAUACCGCAUAAGCCUGGAAAGGGAAAGCCCCUGUUGAAAGAUGGGGGCGCUGAGAGAGGAGUCCGCGGCCGAUUAGCUAGUUGGCAGGGUAAAAGCCUACCAAGGCAUUGAUCGGUAGCCGGCCUGAGAGGGCACACGGCCACACUGGCACUGAAACACGGGCCAGACUCCUACGGGAGGCAGCAGUGGGGAAUCUUGCACAAUGGGGGCAACCCUGAUGCAGCGACGCCGCGUGAGCGAUGAAGCCCUUCGGGGUGUAAAGCUCUUUCGGCAGGAACGAUAAUGACGGUACCUGAAGAAGAAGCUGCGGCUAACUACGUGCCAGCAGCCGCGGUAAUACGUAGGCAGCGAGCGUUGUUCGGAGUUACUGGGCGUAAAGAGUGUGUAGGUGGUUUUCUAAGUUUGGUGUGAAAUCUCCCGGCUCAACUGGGAGGGUGCGCCGAAAACUGGAAGGCUUGAGUAUGGGAGAGGAAAGCGGAAUUCCUGGUGUAGCGGUGAAAUGCGUAGAUAUCAGGAGGAACACCUGCGGUGUAGACGGCUUUCUGGACCAUUACUGACACUGAGACACGAAAGCGUGGGGAGCAAACAGGAUUAGAUACCCUGGUAGUCCACGCCCUAAACGAUGCAUACUUGGUGUGAGCGAUUCAUUUCGUUCGUGCCGGAGCUAACGCGUUAAGUAUGCCGCCUGGGGAGUACGGUCGCAAGGCUGAACUC
rnacentral:rRNA from 1 species